AAGUGAAAUAUCCCGCCGAUGCGGGAUGUGAAAAUGUUUGCCUUNGCGCAAACGUGAAAUAUUGCUCCUUCGUCGCAAUGUGAAAUGAAAU
rnacentral:ncRNA from 2 species